rnacentral:rRNA from 1 species
AUUGAACGCUGGCGGCAGGCCUAACACAUGCAAGUCGAACGAGUCGCGGACGGGUGAGUAAUGUCUGUGAAACUGCCUGAUGGAUGGGGAUAACUACUGGAAACUGUAUCUAAUACCGCAUACCAUCAGAUGUUCCCAGAUGGGAUUGUCUAGUUGGUGGGGUAACGUCUUACCAAGGCGACGAUCCCUCUCUGGUCUGAGAGGAUGACCAGCAACAAUGGACAUGAGACAAGGUGCAGACUCCUACGGGAGGAAGCAGUGGGGAAUAUUGCACAAUGGGGGCAAGCCUGAUGCAGCCAUGCCGCGUGAAUGAAGAAGGCCUUCGGGUUGUAAAGUACUUGCAGCGGGGAGGCGUUAACCGCAGAAGAAGCACCGGCUAACUCCGUGCCAGCAGACGCGGUAAUAC